rnacentral:tRNA from 1 species
GGCCCUAUAGUUCAACGGAUAGAACGGAAGUUUCCUAAACUUUAAAUCCAGGUUCGAUUCCUGGUGGGGCUACCA